UUUGCAAGUGAUGAUAAAAUAGACAGGGACAUCAGAGCACUCCAUAGGAGGAUGAUGACUUAGUCUUUGGGAAUCUCUCUGAUGCAAU